rnacentral:rRNA from 1 species
CAUAGGUUAAUGAGGCGAACCGGGGGAACUGAAACAUCUAAGUACCCCGAGGAAAAGAAAUCAACCGAGAUUCCCCCAGUAGCGGCGAGCGAACGGGGAGGAGCCCAGAGCCUGAAUCAGUGUGUGUGUUAGUGGAAGCGUCUGGAAAGGCGCGCGAUACAGGGUGACAGCCCCGUACACAAAAAUGCACAUAUUGUGAGCUCGAUGAGUAGGGCGGGACACGUGGUAUCCUGUCUGAAUAUGGGGGGACCAUCCUCCAAGGCUAAAUACUCCUGACUGACCGAUAGUGAACCAGUACCGUGAGGGAAAGGCGAAAAGAACCCCGGCGAGGGGAGUGAAAAAGAACCUGAAACCGUGUACGUACAAGCAGUGGGAGCCUCUUAAUGGGGUGACUGCGUACCUUUUGUAUAAUGGGUCAGCGACUUAUAUUCUGUAGCAAGGUUAACCGAAUAGGGGAGCCGAAGGGAAACCGAGUCUUAACUGGGCGUUAAGUUGCAGGGUAUAGACCCGAAACCCGGUGAUCUAGCCAUGGGCAGGUUGAAGGUUGGGUAACACUAACUGGAGGACCGAACCGACUAAUGUUGAAAAAUUAGCGGAUGACUUGUGGCUGGGGGUGAAAGGCCAAUCAAACCGGGAGAUAGCUGGUUCUCCCCGAAAGCUAUUUAGGUAGCGCCUCGUGAAUUCAUCUCCGGGGGUAGAGCACUGUUUCGGCAAGGGGGUCAUCCCGACUUACCAACCCGAUGCAAACUGCGAAUACCGGAGAAUGUUAUCACGGGAGACACACGGCGGGUGCUAACGUCCGUCGUGAAGAGGGAAACAACCCAGACCGCCAGCUAAGGUCCCAAAGUCAUGGUUAAGUGGGAAACGAUGUGGGAAGGCCCAGACAGCCAGGAUGUUGGCUUAGAAGCAGCCAUCAUUUAAAGAAAGCGUAAUAGCUCACUGGUCGAGUCGGCCUGCGCGGAAGAUGUAACGGGGCUAAACCAUGCACCGAAGCUGCGGCAGCGACACUAUGUGUUGUUGGGUAGGGGAGCGUUCUGUAAGCCUGUGAAGGUGGCCUGUGAGGGUUGCUGGAGGUAUCAGAAGUGCGAAUGCUGACAUAAGUAACGAUAAAGCGGGUGAAAAGCCCGCUCGCCGGAAGACCAAGGGUUCCUGUCCAACGUUAAUCGGGGCAGGGUGAGUCGACCCCUAAGGCGAGGCCGAAAGGCGUAGUCGAUGGGAAACAGGUUAAUAUUCCUGUACUUGGUGUUACUGCGAAGGGGGGACGGAGAAGGCUAUGUUGGCCGGGCGACGGUUGUCCCGGUUUAAGCGUGUAGGCUGGUUUUCCAGGCAAAUCCGGAAAACCAAGGCUGAGGCGUGAUGACGAGGCACUACGGUGCUGAAGCGACAAAUGCCCUGCUUCCAGGAAAAGCCUCUAAGCAUCAGGUAACAUCAAAUCGUACCCCAAACCGACACAGGUGGUCAGGUAGAGAAUACCAAGGCGCUUGAGAGAACUCGGGUGAAGGAACUAGGCAAAAUGGUGCCGUAACUUCGGGAGAAGGCACGCUGAUAUGUAGGUGAAGCGACUUGCUCGUGGAGCUGAAAUCAGUCGAAGAUACCAGCUGGCUGCAACUGUUUAUUAAAAACACAGCACUGUGCAAACACGAAAGUGGACGUAUACGGUGUGACGCCUGCCCGGUGCCGGAAGGUU